rnacentral:lncRNA from 1 species
GUCAAGGGGGCGGAGCUCGCCCGCCGCGGCCUGGGCUCAUGGCCAAUGGUGGCUGACUGAAGAGCCCCGCCCAGUCAGCUGCUCGGUUCCGCCAGGCCAGUGGGCGGGGCGAACCGAGGGCGGGGCUCGGGGUGGGCGUGACCAGCUCCCCGGCCCCCGGGAGCCGCCGCGGGCGGGCUGCUGAGGUGGCUGUCGCCGGCUCCGAGCUACGGCUUCCCGGGUCGAGCCCCCGAUGGAGGCCGAGGCCAUGGACGUGCCCCCAGGCGGGGUCGAGGCGGCGCUCAGCUGCUUCUCUUUCAACCAAGACUGCACAUCCCUAGCAAUUGGAACCAAAGCUGGCUACAAGCUGUUUUCUUUGAGUUCUGUGGAGCAACUGGACCAAGUCCAUGGAAGCAAUGAAAUCCCUGACGUGUACAUUGUGGAGCGCCUCUUCUCCAGCAGCCUGGUGGUGGUGGUCAGUCACACGAAACCCCGGCAGAUGAAUGUGUAUCACUUCAAGAAGGGCACAGAGAUCUGUAAUUACAGCUACUCCAGCAACAUCUUGUCCAUAAGACUGAACCGGCAGAUAGUGGCAUUCAUUGCAGAUGGUAGCCAAGCCUCUGAAGACGAGAUGUCUGCGUGAAGCAUGGUCCCUCCUGGGUUAGUGCUGCAGCCAGUCAAUGUGACCACCCUCCUCAGCCAUCUGCAUGGGCUUUCCUGGUGGGGCCAGUUUUGUUCCCAUUUUCCCUUCUCCAACUGACCCUUAAAGAUGUUUUCUUUUAGCGUUUUCUUUGUUGAAGGUCGGAUCAUUCUUAUCUCAAAUAUGUACUGUAUCCCCUUUAAAAUAUCAAUUCUUGUUAAUUGGGAUAUUAAUAAAUUUUCCUUGGAAUUACUGACUUUAUAUCCUAUGAGGGGCCCAUGGUAUUUUAAUUCACUGCUGGAAGACUUGCAAGAAAAGGGUUCCUAAGUACCUGUUUCCUGAAUGGCUAUUAAAUAAAUAAAUAAAGAGACCCUUUGUGUAAG